rnacentral:rRNA from 1 species
UACGUAGGUGACCAGCGUUGUCCGGAUUUACUGGGCGUAAAGAGCGCGCAGGCGGUCGGAUAAGUCGAAUGUGAAAGCCCCCGGCUCAACUGGGGAGGGUCAUUCGAUACUGUUCGACUCGAAGGCAGGAGAGGGAAGUGGAAUUCUCGGUGUAGAGGUGAAAUUCGUAGAUAUCGAGAGGAACACCGGUGGCGAAGGCGGCCUUCUGGACAGUGACUGACGCUGAGACGCGAAAGCGUGGGGAGCAAACAGG